rnacentral:lncRNA from 1 species
AAUGAAUUCAAGUUUUAUUUUGACUGAAGAGGGAGGGAGUUCCUGGGAAAAGUCUGCUCUCCUAGGAUGUCAACGUUGUGUGUGAGGGAUGAAAUCUGCUAGGAGAUCUGAGAGGCUCUGGCAUCGGGACAUUUUGCUGUUUAAACAGAUGUCUAAAGCUUCGUUUGUUUUAACACAGACUACAUGGGAUACACACAGGAGCAUGUGGCUGCCAAUGAAUAUGGGGCUUCUGGCCUGUCAGAUAAAACAGGUAAAUAACAAAUUCUGUAAAGUGUGUUCUUUUUUUUUUUUAAAUAGCAAAGCUGAAGUUGCUUGCUAAAUGUGAGUGAAAUUAAGAACUUAGGUGGAGUGUGCUGAAAUAAGAUUCAUUUGGUUUUACAAAACACAUGAGAUCAUCUGCAGUCAUCUAGGGAUCGUAGAGCUCAACAGUUGGAAACUACUUGGUUGGGUGUGUCCCUAAGUUUUGCAUGUGAAAAGUGAAAAAGAGUGGAAUGUAGACUGCAGUACAAGCUGUAGUCAGGGAUUUCGGAUUCUAACCAUGGUUCUGCUGGUAACCGGUUCCCUCACCUAAAUGAGGGAACUGACUUAAUUUCUCAAGGUAAGUGUUUUUUGGUGAUAAAAAUCAAGGGUUUUGCCAUAUAUCAACAUGAAUCCGCCAAUUGUAAAGUUAAAAAAUAAAAUUAAUUAAAAAAAACA